AACGAACGCUGGCGGCAGGCUUAACACAUGCAAGUCGAGCGCCCCGCAAGGGGAGCGGCAGACGGGUGAGUAACGCGUGGGAAUCUACCCAUCUCUACGGAAUAACGCAUGGAAACGUGUACUAAUACCGUAUACGUCCUUCGGGAGAAAGAUUUAUCGGAGAUGGAUGAGCCCGCGUUGGAUUAGCUAGUUGGUGGGGUAAAGGCCUACCAAGGCGACGAUCCAUAGCUGGUCUGAGAGGAUGAUCAGCCACACUGGGACUGAGACACGGCCCAGACUCCUACGGGAGGCAGCAGUGGGGAAUAUUGGACAAUGGGCGCAAGCCUGAUCCAGCCAUGCCGCGUGAGUGAGGAAGGCCCUAGGGUUGUAAAGCUCUUUCACCGGUGAAGAUAAUGACGGUAACCGGAGAAGAAGCCCCGGCUAACUUCGUGCCAGCCGCCGCGGUAA
rnacentral:rRNA from 2 species